ensembl:lncRNA LERFS lncRNA negative regulator of fibroblast-like synoviocyte migration, SYNCRIP interacting
GGAAAUACAACAAAACGCCUCUCCCGCUCCUUUAGCAAAACAUGUGUCAGAGCAACGCAAGAUUUGAUUGGGACUGCUUUACUUCGUUAACAAUUACAGCAGGAGUAGGGCUGAUUGGAGCCAUUGUACAGUGUCGGGAACAUACCAGGACACUGAGAAUAGUGUCAUGUCAUAAGGACCCAGAGCAGAUGGACCCUGCUGUGAUGCACAAAGAAAUCAAUGGAGCCUAUUCUUCCAAAUAAUCCUUAAAUAUUACUUAUCUCAACUGAGAUUUUGGUGAAAAUUUAGCUUUAGAGCUUUUAUUGACCUGCCAAUGACCUGAAGUUAAGAUUAUUCUUUUCUACUGAAUGAAGACAAACUACCUUAUAAAAAUUAACCCAGAAGGCUGUAGAGGGAUGAAAUGGGAUUUUGUUGGCACCAAGACCUGAUUGCUUUGCCAGUUACCCUCACCCCUGGCUCACAAGGAAAGUGUAUGGAGGAGAUUCUCGAGGAACCACAUGAGUUUUAAUAUCAUAAGCUUCUGCCCUGAAUUGAAAGCCUACAUCAUCCUGUGCAUUUCACAAAAUCCUAAUGAAAACUACACGAAGCUCAAAGUAUAGAUAAACAUAUCAGUGUUGACAACCGUGAAACCACGCUAUCCAAAGGCUACGAGCUCUGAGGAAUUCCUGUUAGCUACAGCACAUGUAGGAUCAAUGAAGGAAGAAAAUGAAGCCUCCUGGGAGACAAAAUUAUGCCAGGACAAAGCUGAAGAAGAGCAACACCUGUCGGAAAUGUCCUAAGAUAAAUUUUGAAAGGUGCCAGGCUUGGAGGUGGGGCAGGCACCGCCGGAAGAGACACCUUCCCUUUGGGGCUUUCUUUGCCUGUGACAAGAACAGCACUUGAUGCCCUUAGAAUAGUUCCUGGAACAUCUGAAUAAAUAUCUGUGGAAUGGCUGAA